CUUCUCGUACUUUUGGAACAGCUAGACAGUCGGCGACGUUCAGACAACACAAGACCUGCUGUUGUCAUGUGUCGGGACGGAUGUACACAAAGUGGACUGUUCUGUUGCAUAUCAAAUAUCAGAGAUCAAAUGAAGAUGGACGAGGAGGUGGACAUAUUCCAAACAGCAAGGCGGUUGAAAAAGCGGCGACCAGAGGCGCUAGAAAAUGUU